rnacentral:tRNA from 1 species
GGAGAGAUGCCGGAGUGGCUGAACGGGCCAGGUUGCUAACCUGUUGUGCGGGGUAACCUGCACCGGGGGUUCGAAUCCCCCUCUCUCCGCCA